AUGUUUAUCUUUUUUACACUCUGGACUACAGUUUUAGGUUUCUCUCAUCUGAAUUAUUCACCUCUUGCGAGAUACUACUAUGCCUUGAGGAUAAAACAGCAGCUGCUGAGAUAUCACAGGCCGGUGUCCUCUUCUGAAUUAUUGGAAGCAAUCAUUCAGCGCAAUAACUACGGCGGUCCAGUCCUCGGUGGCCUGCAGUGCACACAACAUGACAUAGUUUGUUUCACACAACCUGGUCAGCUCCGCCUAUUCUCUUCUUCCUCACUGCCGCUGCUCUCCACCAUCUGCCACACAUCUGCGCCACUCAACUUCGGAUAG
rnacentral:rRNA from 1 species